UUAAAUUGAAGAGUUUGAUCAUGGCUCAGAUUGAACGCUGGCGGCAGGCCUAACACAUGCAAGUCGAACGGUAGCACAGAGAGCUUGCUGCUUGGCUGACGAGUGGCGGACGGGUGAGUAAUGUCUGGGAAACUGCCUGAUGGAGGGGGAUAACUACUGGAAACGGUGGCUAAUACCGCAUAACGUCGCAAGACCAAAGAGGGGGACCUUCGGGCCUCUUGCCAUCAGAUGUGCCCAGAUGGGAUUAGCUUGUUGGUGAGGUAACGGCUCA
rnacentral:rRNA from 1 species